rnacentral:tRNA from 1 species
UGUUCCAUGGUGUAAUGGUAGCACAACAGUCUCUGGAUCUGUUUGUUAAGGUUCGAGUCCUUAUGGAACAACAA